GUGCCAGCCGCCGCGGUAAUACCGGCAGCCCGAGUGAUGGCCGAUCUUAUUGGGCCUAAAGCGUCCGUAGCUGGCCGCACAAGUCCAUCGGGAAAUCCACCUGCUCAACAGGUGGACGUCCGGUGGAAACUGUGUGGCUUGGGACCGGAAGGCGCGACGGGUACGUCCGGGGUAGGAGUGAAAUCCCGUAAUCCUGGACGGACCGCCGAUGGCGAAAGCACGUCGCGAAAACGGAUCCGACAGUGAGGGACGAAAGCUAGGGUCUCGAACCGGAUUAGAUACCCUUGUAGUCC
rnacentral:rRNA from 1 species